rnacentral:rRNA from 1 species
AUACGGAGGAUCCGAGCGUUAUCCGGAUUUAUUGGGUUUAAAGGGUGCGCAGGCGGCCACUUAAGUCAGCGGUUAAAUCGUGGGGCUCAACCCCAUUCUGCCGUUGAUACUGGGUGGCUUGAUUGCGGUCGAGGUUGGCGGAAUUCGUUGUGUAGCGGUGAAAUGCAUAGAUAUGACGAAGAACACCGAUUGCGUAGGCAGCUGACCAGACCGCAAAUGACGCUCAUGCACGAAAGUGCGGGGAACGAACAGGAUUAGAUACCCUGGUAGUCCGCACAGUAAACGAUGAAUACUUGUUUUCGGCGAUAUAAUGUCGGAGGCAAAGCGAAAGCGAUAAGUAUUCCACCUGGGGAGUACGCCGGCAACGGUGAAACUCAAAGGAAUUGACGGGG